CUGUUUGGACUUGCCAAAUCCACAAAUGAGUCAGAUCCGAUAAAUUUCAGCUUUGUUACAAUGGAUACACACUGGGCUUGUUUGUAUCUCCUGUGAGGAACUUCAAUGAUAAUCCACCAGAGAGUUGCCACCCCCGGUUUUACCUUUGUUAAAAACUCCCAAGAGCCCUUCAUCCUGUCUGCUCUGUCUCUGGUCCCUGACAGCUUAACACUCACAACACGCCCUUAUUUGAGGGAGAGAAUGGGGGUCAUCCCAGGUUGGCCCCGGUCAGCCCGGUCAGCCCUGUCAGCGAGACGUCACUGCAACCUGCUUGUUGGGCACGCGUUGACUCAACUCUGGAGAUGGUCCAUUUCAGGCACGCCAUGUAACAUUUACCUCCUGUAUGUUCACCUCAGGUUUUGGAACUUUAACAUAGACGUCACACAUAACCAAAAAAGCAUGACACAUCCCCUUUAAGAUCUUAAUUAUUUUAGUGUAUAUUGUGUUUACAUGUGCAAUAUUCCUGAAUCAGGUCUACCACUAACUUAUUGGCAUACAUAAAAAGUGGGGCAAGGUUGCAUGACAGGACAGGUGUGCUGUUUGCUGUCUGGGUGUCUGCCAUGUGAAGUCUGCUGUGUGUGCUGUUCAUGGGAGCUUGGAGAUGACGGAGUACCUUCAGUACACAAUGCACUAUGUGCGAUGCUUGGUGGGUUUCUAUAGGGGCCCAACAAUAGUUUACAACUGGCCCCCCGAUAGGUUUAUGGGCAUAAUGAGAACAAGUAAUGUAACAAGUGGUGUGAUGGAAUACAGGCUGGUGAUAUUCUAUAGUUUCUUAAUGUCAACAAAUCCAAUGAAAAGACCAACAGCA